AAACCAUGAUGAGGGCAUUUGAAUAGGAGAUCCUUGAAUCUUUCAUGUGCCUCAAAAAGUGUCUCAAAGUCCCCCUGCCUGAAGGCAGAAAUCUCUUGCCUCAGUCU